GAGGAAGAGAAGGUGACGUCGGAGCGCCGCCGCUGGCCUUGGCCGGAGCUCACCCGGCCAUGGGCGACGGAGCCAUCACAUGGGGCAGAUGUGACAGCCUUGGGCCGAGAAAUGGAGAAAAUUUUGUACAAAAAUCUCGACAAGUCUGAGUCAUUCCAUGGGCACAGACGCCUGAAAAUUCCCUAAAAAAACCCCAAAAAAUCCCUAAAAAAUCCCUAAAAAUCCCCCCAAAAUUCCCCAAAAAAUUCCCAAAAAUUCCCCCAAAAAUCCUGGAAAAUUUGGGAAUUUUUCGCUUCCACACUGUGGAUUUUGUGCCUAAAAAAUUGUUGAAUUUUGGUUUUUU